GGGGCUGACUUGGAUUUCGACAGAUUUCUUGUCGCACAGAUAGCAUGCCAAGUGCUACUUGUAAAACAGCAACAAAAAUAACUGUAAACAACACAGAUUACGCUCCAGCUUACGCUAAAGUUGCGUGAGUUAAUCUCCUUUUGGAGCUGGACUGAUUAGAAUUUCUAGCGUUUUAAUCACUCCAUAACCUUAAGCUAGACGCUUUUAAAAGGUGGUUCGCCUUUUAAACUAAGAAACAAGAACUCUUGAAACUAUCUCAAGGUUUUAGAAAGUUGGACCAGAGCUAGUUUUAAGGCUAAAAAACUAACCAAUUUUCUAAGCAUUGUAGAAGUUUGUGUUUAGGGCAAGAUUUUUGGACUGGGGUUCGAUUCCCCACAGCUCCACCA
rnacentral:tmRNA from 1 species